AACGUAGGUACCGAGCGUUAUCCGGAUUCACUGGGCGUAAAGCGUGUGCAGGUGGUUUGGUAAGUCGGGCAUGAAAACUCUUGGCUCAACUGAGAGACGCUGUUCGAUACUGUCAAACUUGAGGGUGUGAGAGGGAGGUGGAAUUCCGCAUGUAGUGGUGAAAUGCGUAGAUAUGCGGAGGAACACCAGUGGCGAAGGCGGCCUCCUGGCACACUCCUGACACUCAUACACGAAAGCUAGGGGAGCGAACGGG
rnacentral:rRNA from 1 species